rnacentral:rRNA from 1 species
GACGAACGCUGGCGGCGCGCCUAACACAUGCAAGUCGAACGAGAGAUGAGGAGCUUGCUCUUCAAAUCGAGUGGCGAACGGGUGAGUAACGCGUGAGGAACCUGCCUCAAAGAGGGGGACAACAGUUGGAAACGACUGCUAAUACCGCAUAAGCCCACGGCUCGGCAUCGAGCAGAGGGAAAAGGAGCAAUCCGCUUUGAGAUGGCCUCGCGUCCGAUUAGCUAGUUGGUGAGGUAACGGCCCACCAAGGCGACGAUCGGUAGCCGGACUGAGAGGUUGAACGGCCACAUUGGGACUGAGACACGGCCCAGACUCCUACGGGAGGCAGCAGUGGGGAGUAUUGCACAAUGGGGGAAACCCUGAUGCAGCGACGCCGCGUGGAGGAAGAAGGUCUUCGGAUUGUAAACUCCUGUUGUUGAGGAAGAUAAUGACGGUACUCAACAAGGAAGUGACGGCUAACUACGUGCCAGCAGCCGCGGUAAAACGUAGGUCACAAGCGUUGUCCGGAAUUACUGGGUGUAAAGGGAGCGCAGGCGGGAGAACAAGUUGGAAGUGAAAUCCAUGGGCUCAACCCAUGAACUGCUUUCAAAACUGUUUUUCUUGAGUAGUGCAGAGGUAGGCGGAAUUCCCGGUGUAGCGGUGGAAUGCGUAGAUAUCGGGAGGAACACCAGUGGCGAAGGCGGCCUACUGGGCACCAACUGACGCUGAGGCUCGAAAGUGUGGGUAGCAAACAGGAUUAGAUACCCUGGUAGUCCACACCGUAAACGAUGAUUACUAGGUGUUGGAGGAUUGACCCCUUCAGUGCCGCAGUUAGCACAAUAAGUAAUCCACCUGGGGAGUACGACCGCAAGGUUGAAACUCAAAGGAAUUGACGGGGGCCCGCACAAGCAGUGGAGUAUGUGGUUUAAUUCGACGCAACGCGAAGAACCUUACCAAGUCUUGACAUCCCUUGACGAUGCUGGAAACAGUAUUUCUCUUCGGAGCAAGGAGACAGGUGGUGCAUGGUUGUCGUCAGCUCGUGUCGUGAGAUGUUGGGUUAAGUCCCGCAACGAGCGCAACCCUUAUGGUCAGUUACUACGCAAGAGGACUCUGGCCAGACUGCCGUUGACAAAACGGAGGAAGGUGGGGAUGACGUCAAAUCAUCAUGCCCUUUAUGACUUGGGCUACACACGUACUACAAUGGCGUUAAACAAAGAGAAGCAAGACCGCGAGGUGGAGCAAAACUCAGAAACAACGUCCCAGUUCGGACUGCAGGCUGCAACUCGCCUGCACGCAGUCGGAAUUGCUAGUAAUCGUGGAUCAGCAUGCCACGGUGAAUACGUUCCCGGGCCUU